CCUACGGGAGGCAGCAGUGAGGAAUAUUGGUCAAUGGACGAGAGUCUGAACCAGCCAAGUAGCGUGAAGGAUGACUGCCCUAUGGGUUGUAAACUUCUUUUAUAUGGGAAUAAAAUGUUCCACGUGUGGGAUUUUGUAUGUACCCUAUGAAUAAGGAUCGGCUAACUCCGUGCCAGCAGCCGCGGUAAUACGGAGGAUCCGAGCGUUAUCCGGAUUUAUUGGGUUUAAAGGGAGCGUAGGUGGAUUGUUAAGUCAGUUGUGAAAGUUUGCGGCUCAACCGUAAAAUUGCAGUUGAAACUGGCAGUCUGGAGUACAGUAGAGGUGGGCGGAAUUCGUGGUGUAGCGGUGAAAUGCUUAGAUAUCACGAAGAACUCCGAUUGCGAACGCAGCUCACUGGACUGUAACUGACACUGAGGCUCGAAAGUGUGGGUAUCAAACAGGAUUAGAUACCCCUGUAGUC
rnacentral:rRNA from 1 species